GACCUCUGCAUUUGCCACACUGGGACAAUAUUCUAUUUUCAUCUUUAUCUGAUUUUAUUAUGGCUUGCCAAAUCCCUUUUAGAAAGGAAGAAAAAAUGGCUGAUCAGCUCACUGACGACCAGAUCUCUGAGUUGAGGGAGGCCUUCAGCCUCUUCGACAAGGACGGCGAUGGCUGUAUCACUGCCAAAGAGCUUGGGAAUGUGAUGCGGUCACUAGGGCAGAAUCCAACUGAACCGGAGUUGCAAGAGAUGAUAAAUGAGGCUGAUACUGAUAACAAUGGUACUAUAAAUUUCGUAGAAUUCCUUGAGCUGAUGGCCCGGGUGAUGAAGGACGCCGCUUUGGAGGAGGAGCUAAGGGAGGCUUUCCGGGUGUUCGACAAAGACCAAGAUGGCCUUAUUUCUGAAGCUGAGCUGCGAAAUGUUAUGACAAAUCUUGGUGAGAAGCUGACGAAAGAGGAAGUUGAUGAGAUGAUUCGUGAGGUCGAUAUGGAUGGUAAUAACCAGGUCGACUAUGAGGAGUUUGCCAAAGUCAUGAUGGCCAAGGGAACAGAACCUGAAACUAAGGAUGGAAAACUGAGCAUGCACGGUUGCCUCAGUUGUAAGCCCAGUUUUGACAAACCAUGGCCUUGGACGGAAAAUCUGAUUAGAAGAGGGGCUAAACCGAUCUUUUAGAACCUUUUUGCUAUCAAAUCCUCCUGAAAUUAAGAGCGAUGGGAGUCGGGACGGACAUCCUUCUUUGAAGAGAUAAGAGGAUGGGAGAUCAGAGAAGCCCUAGCCCUAGUUUCCGAAGAUUAGAUCAACCUAUCAAACUGACGUCCUCAAAUGUAGAGGUCAGUGACCACAAAGGACGUUGCCUUUGUUGUAUCCUCUAAUUACC